rnacentral:lncRNA from 1 species
GCAUUCUAGGCAUGGGAAACAGCUAAUGCAAAAACAGAGACAAGUGAUGGAAUUUGGUAUUGGGACAGUGAAAAGAUUAAUUAUGUGACUCUAUAAAGUUCAGUGAGUGGAAUAAUUUAUACAAUGAAGCUGAAAAGGUAUGUUGGGGCCACAUUGUCAAAAUCCUCCAUCCUCAAAAAAGAGCCUUCUGGGCUAUGACAGAAGCCUUUCCAACCAGAUGUAGAUUUGCAGGUAGGUAGUGAUCAGAUCAAAGGCCCUUUAAUGCUAUCACAAACAUCUCUCCUACAGACUGUCCUGGCCCCCAGCCUAGCCACCUCCUCUCUGAUCAGGUCAUCAGCUGUUUUUUCUCAGCACCUUCCAUCUUUGGCUCGGUACCUGAAACAACCUCCAAAAUGACCUUCAGGCCCUUAUGACAUUUUUGUAAGCAACAGAGAGAAGAUUCCUCUCCUCAUUGGAUAAUCCUGCUCCUUGCUCACUUACAGACUUCAUGCAGGUUGCCAUGUUAUAUCUCUCAGCCUGCUCAGCCAAUUUGACCUUCUGCACCAGCUCAUUUUUAUCCAUGACUGAAUGUUCUGUGCCCAGAGUGAGCGGCAACUGAAGACAGAUGGACAGGGGAGGGGGCGCUUGAGUGAUCUCUGGGUGCCCACAGUGGCCAAACCUUCAAUUUCUUGAUGCUUGCAGCAGUACAACUGAAUGGGAUGUCCCAGUGAAGACUUCUCAGUGUAAUUAAGGUUUGGGAUAAGACUAUCCUAAAUCUGGUAAUAAGUUCAGGAGGUAGGAUAAGGGUUAAGUAUAAAUUUCUGUAAGUUCUUUUUUUUUAGUGCCAUGUAUCAGUAGUUAAAAUUUGUCUAGUUGUUAAGCCUUAGCCUACCUUUUAAUCUUAUUCAGAUGCACUUUUGCCCCUCCUCCUAAAAGAAUCUGGCUCCCGUUUGUCUACAGGCCCCAGAAAACCCUUAAACUUUCAGAUUCCUUAUCUACUCCCCUUAUCUUCCUUUGAAAGGACCUUACUCAGAUGCCUUCCAGUCCCCUCCAUUAUCUAUUCCCAUUGUCUGUUCAGUAUCUCUCAGAUCUCCCAAUACAUUUGUAAACUAUCUUUCUGUCAUGGUGGCCUGGCUCCACAGUACAAUGUCUAGCUUGACUGCACAUUUUUAAUUGCUUCUUGGACAUUAUCUCAACAAACUGAGAAAUACAGAGAGAUUGUGAGCUGAGUGACGGACAACUAGUCGGAGGGGGAAUUUACCCGUCAGGGUUAUUUAGCCUGGCUUUCUGCUUCUGUGUCUUGUCUCCCCUCAUCAGAGUAUACUGGUGGACGGACACCCAAAUCUCAAGAUUUGAAAUAAUAAUAAUAAUAAUAAUAAUAAUAAUAAUAAUAAUAAUAUAAUACAUUUACUUCCUU